GACGAACCGUGCGAACGUUAUUCGGAAUCACUGGGCUUAAAGGGUGCGUAGGCGGGUUGCCAAGUCUGUGGUGAAAUCCUCCGGCUUAACCGGAGAACUGCCGUGGAUACUGGCGACCUCGAGGGGGAUAGGGGGCUUGCGGAACUGUGCGUGGAGCGGUGAAAUGCGUUGAUAUGCACAGGAACUCCGGUGGCGAAGGCGGCGAGCUGGAUCCCUUCUGACGCUGAGGCACGAAAGCUAGGGGAGCGAACGGG
rnacentral:rRNA from 1 species